AACGAACGCUGGCGGCGUGCUUAACACAUGCAAGUCGAACGGAAAGGCCCCUCUUGGUGUUCUCUUGUGGGGCGCGGGUGAGUAACACGUGAGUAACCUGCCCUUGACUUCGGGAUAACUUCAGGAAACUGGGGCUUAUACCCGCUAGGGAUCCUUGCUGCAUAGUGGGGGUUCGACAGCUUCGGCGGUUUUGGAUGGACUCGCGGCUUAUCAGCUUGUUGGUGGGGUAGUGGCUUACCAAGGCGUUGACGGGUAGCCGGCCUGAGAGGGUGACCAGCCACCCUGGGACCGAGAGGAGGCACCGGCGGCUAAGGGUGGCAGAUGGGGGGAAGAUUGAACCAUGGGCGCAAGCCGGAUGAAGAAAGGCCGCGUGCUGGAUGACGGUCUUAGGGUGGUAAAACGCUUUCAGCAGGAGCGAAGCUUGUGGUGACGGUACCUGCAGAAGAAGCACCGGCUAACUACGUG
rnacentral:rRNA from 1 species